GGCCUGGUGGUGUAGUGGGUACACAUCCUCUCAAAAUUGCUCUUGGAGAGAGAUCUCGGAGGAAUUUCCCCGUUCGAUUCGGGGCCAGGCCA